GAGUUUGAUCAUGGCUCAGAUUGAACGCUGGCGGCAGGCCUAACACAUGCAAGUCGAGCGGUAGAGAGAAGCUUGCUUCUCUUGAGAGCGGCGGACGGGUGAGUAAUGCCUAGGAAUCUGCCUGGUAGUGGGGGAUAACGCUCGGAAACGGACGCUAAUACCGCAUACGUCCUACGGGAGAAAGCAGGGGACCUUCGGGCCUUGCGCUAUCAGACGAGCCUAGGUCGGAUUAGCUAGUUGGUGAGGUAAUGGCUCACCAAGGCGACGAUCCGUAACUGGUCUGAGAGGAUGAUCAGUCACACUGGAACUGAGACACGGUCCAGACUCCUACGGAGGCAGCAGUGGGGAAUAUUGGACAAUGGGCGAAAGCCUGAUCCAGCCAUGCCGCGUGUGUGAAGAAGGUCUUCGGAUUGUAAAGCACUUUAAGUUGGGAGGAAGGGCAGUAAAUUAAUACUUUGCUGUUUGACGUUACCGACAGAAUAAGCACCGGCUAACUCUGU
rnacentral:rRNA from 1 species